CACCCAGCCAACCGAUAACAACAACAGCGUUGUACGCUGUAACAACACCAACGUACAACAACUAUUCCAACAACGUACGCACAGUCAACAACAACGGCUAACCCGUUCAACAACAUUCCGACCCGACCCCAACCCGAUUUCAAUCAACAACGGUAACAAUAGCUGCAACAACAGCUCAGCAACAACCUCAAAUCGUACCAACCUUAUCCCAAAUUCAAAUUUCAAAAUCCUUUCGAAAAAUCUCAAAAACAACCCCAAAUUCUUCUAUAAAUACUCAUCAAUGUAGAGAGAAAAGGGGGAGGAAUUUUUUGGGAAAAAAUUGGGGGUUCUGGAGAUGCGCAUCUCUAACCUCAUGCAGCCAAAAUUCCAACGAAAUCAAAAUUCGGUGGUGGAAACUCCAUCGUUACAGGCUUGUUGUCGUCCCAUUCGCUGCCCGGAUGGAUAAAGGUAAUCAGUACUUGACAGAGUUGUUAGCAGAGAGGCAGAAGUUUGUACCAUUUAUGCAAGUUCUUUCAAUAUACAACAAGCUCUUGAAUAAUGGUUUGUUCUUUUAUGUCUUGAGUUUUUAUUUGCUGCUAUUUAAUUAUAUAUGAGUUGACUGUUGUGCUAAUCUGUUAAGAAGUUGUCUGCUAUUGUGUUAAUAAAUGUUUAUGAAUGGAAAAGAAUCAUAA